AUUGAACGCUGGCGGCAUGCCUUACACAUGCAAGUCGAACGGCGGCACGGGUGCUUGCACCUGGUGGCGAGUGGCGAACGGGUGAGUAAUACAUCGGAACGUACCUUAUCGUGGGGGAUAACGCAGCGAAAGCUGUGCUAAUACCGCAUACGCCCUGAGGGGGAAAGCGGGGGAUCGCAAGACCUCGCGCGAUUAGAGCGGCCGAUGCCUGAUUAGCUAGUUGGUGGGGUAAAAGCCCACCAAGGCGACUAUCAGUAGCUGGUCUGAGAGGACGAUCAGCCACACUGGGACUGAGACACGGCCCAGACUCCUACGGGAGGCAGCAGUGGGGAAUUUUGGACAAUGGGGGCAACCCUGAUCCAGCAAUGCCGCGUGGAGGAUGAAGGUCUUCGGAUUGUAAACUCCUGUCAGCUGGGAGGAAUGGGUGGCGGGUGAAUAACCCGUCGCCGUGACAGUACCAGCAGAGGAAGCCACGGCUAACUCUGUGCCAGCCGCCGCCGUAA
rnacentral:rRNA from 1 species